rnacentral:rRNA from 1 species
GCAUAUCAAUAAGCGGAGGAAAAGAAACCAACAGGGAUUGCCUCAGUAACGGCGAAGUGAAGCGGCAAGAGCUCAAAUUUGAAAGCUGGCCCCUUCGGGGUCCGCGUUGUAAUUUGCAGAGGAUGCUUCGGGUGCAGCCCCCGUCUAAGUGCCCUGGAACGGGCCGUCAUAGAGGGUGAGAAUCCCGUCUGGGACGGGGUGUCUGCGUCCGUGUGAAGCUCCUUCGACGAGUCGAGUUGUUUGGGAAUGCAGCUCUAAAUGGGUGGUAAAUUUCAUCUAAAGCUAAAUACUGGCCGGAGACCGAUAGCGCACAAGUAGAGUGAUCGAAAGAUGAAAAGCACUUUGAAAAGAGAGUUAAACAGCACGUGAAAUUGUUGAAAGGGAAGCGUUUGCGACCAGACUCGCCCGCGGGGUUCAGCCGGCAUUCGUGCCGGUGUACUUCCCCGUGGGCGGGCCAGCGUCGGUUUGGGCGGCCGGUCAAAGGCCCUCGGAAUGUAUCACCCCUCGGGGUGUCUUAUAGCCGAGGGUGCAAUGCGGCCUGCCCGGACCGAGGAACGCGCUUCGGCUCGGACGCUGGCGUAAUGGUCGUAAAUGACCCGUCUUGAAACACGGACCAAGGAGUCUAACAUCUACGCGAGUGUUCGGGUGUCAAACCCGUACGCGCAGUGAAAGCGAACGGAGGUGGGAGCCCCCUCGCGGGGCGCACCAUCGACCGAUCCUGAUGUCUUCGGAUGGAUUUGAGUACGAGCGUAGCUGUGGGGACCCGAAAGAUGGUGAACUAUGCCUGAAUAGGGCGAAGCCAGAGGAAACUCUGGUGGAGGCUCGCAGCGGUUCUGACGUGCAAAUCGAUCGUCAAAUUUGGGUAUAGGGGCGAAAGACUAAUCGAACCAUCUAGUAGCUGGUUCUGC